rnacentral:rRNA from 1 species
AUUGAACGCUGGCGGAAUGCUUUACACAUGCAAGUCGAACGGCAGCAUAGGUGCUUGCACCUGAUGGCGAGUGGCGAACGGGUGAGUAAUACAUCGGAACGUACCCAGUCGUGGGGGAUAACGUAGCGAAAGUAACGCUAAUACCGCAUACGAUCUAAGGAUGAAAGCGGGGGACCGUAAGGCCUCGCGCGAUUGGAGCGGCCGAUGUCAGAUUAGGUAGUUGGUGGGGUAAAGGCCCACCAAGCCUACGAUCUGUAGCUGGUCUGAGAGGACGACCAGCCACACUGGAACUGAGACACGGCCCAGACUCCUACGGGAGGCAGCAGUGGGGAAUUUUGGACAAUGGGCGAAAGCCUGAUCCAGCCAUUCCGCGUGCAGGACGAAGGCCUUCGGGUUGUAAACUGCUUUUGUACGGAACGAAAAGCUCUGGGUUAAUACCUCGGGGUCAUGACGGUACCGUAAGAAUAAGCACCGGCUAACUACGUGCCAGCCGCCGCAGUAA